CACCAUUCUGCCCACGGACCAAGCCAGGGCCGUCAUGCCCACGGAUCUCUUCCGGAUCCCAAAGUCCGCUGGGGCCCCAGACAUGGCCACAAGGGACACUAUACUUACAUUUAAAAAUGGGACUGACAAAUCGACGGUUCUCACAGCCAUCCGGGGUAAAACCCCCAUACAAUUUGAAAACGCUAAACUAACCUUUUACGCCGACCUAUCCAGUG